UACAGAGGGUGCAAGCGUUGUUCGGAAUUAUUGGGAGUACAGGGCGCGUAGGCGGUGCGGUAAGUCACCUGUGAAAUCUCCUGGCUCAACUGGGAGCUUGCAGGCGAAACUGCCGUGCUGGAGUGUGGGAGAGGUGCGUGGAAUUCCCGGUGUAGCGGUGAAAUGCGUAGAUAUCGAGAGGAACACCUGUGGCGAAAGCGGCGCACUGGACCACAACUGACGCUGAGGCGCGAAAGCUAGGGGAGCAAACAGG
rnacentral:rRNA from 1 species